ensembl:miRNA
UUAUGUUGGCGCAAAAGUAAUUGUGGUUUUUGCCAUUGAAAGUAAUGGCAAAACCAUAAUUACUUUUGCACCAACCUA